GGAUAUAGCUCAGUUGGUAGAGUGUUUGGCUUGCAUGCACAAGGUCCUGGGUUCAUUCCCCAGAACCA
rnacentral:tRNA from 1 species